rnacentral:rRNA from 1 species
AGUGAACGCUGGCGGUAGGCCUAACACAUGCAAGUCGAACGGCAGCACAGUAAGAGCUUGCUCUUACGGGUGGCGAGUGGCGGACGGGUGAGGAAUACAUCGGAAUCUACUUUUUCGUGGGGGAUAACGUAGGGAAACUUACGCUAAUACCGCAUACGACCUACGGGUGAAAGCAGGGGAUCUUCGGACCUUGCGCGAUUGAAUGAGCCGCUGUCGGAUUAGCUAGUUGGGGGGGUAAAGGCCCACCAAGGCGAGGAUCCGUAGCUGGUCUGAGAGGAUGAUCAGCCACACUGGAACUGAGACACCGUCCAGGCGCCUACGGGAGGCAGCAGUGGGGAAUAUUGGACAAUGGGCGCAAGCCUGGUCCAGCCAUACCGCGUGGGUGAAGAAGGCCUUCGGGUUGUAAAGCCCUUUUGUUGGGAAAGAAAAGCAGCAGGUUAAUACCCCGCUGUUCUGACGGUACCCAAAGAAUAAGCACCGGCUAACUUCGUG